rnacentral:rRNA from 1 species
CGUGGGAGCAAACAGGAUUAGAUACCCUGGUAGUCACGCUGUAAACGAUGUCGAUUUGGAGGUUGUUCCCUUGAGGAGUGGCUUCCGGAGCUAACGCGUUAAAUCGACCGCCUGGGGAGUACGGCCGCAAGGUUAAAACUCAAAUGAAUUGACGGGGGCCCGCACAAGCGGUGGAGCAUGUGGUUUAAUUCGAUGCAACGCGAAGAACCUUACCUACUCUUGACAUCCAGAGAAUUUAGCAGAGAUGCUUUAGUGCCUUCGGGAACUCUGAGACAGGUGCUGCAUGGCUGUCGUCAGCUCGUGUUGUGAAAUGUUGGGUUAAGUCCCGCAACGAGCGCAACCCUUAUCCUUUGUUGCCAGCACAUUAUGGUGGGAACUCAAAGGAGACUGCCGGUGAUAAACCGGAGGAAGGUGGGGAUGACGUCAAGUCAUCAUGGCCCUUACGAGUAGGGCUACACACGUGCUACAAUGGCGUAUACAAAGAGAAGCGACCUCGCGAGAGCAAGCGGAACUCAUAAAGUACGUCGUAGUCCGGAUUGGAGUCUGCAACUCGACUCCAUGAAGUCGGAAUCGCUAGUAAUCGUAGAUCAGAAUGCUACGGUGAAUACGUUCCCGGGCCUUGUACACACCGCCCGUCACACCAUGGGAGUGGGUUGCAAAAGAAGUAGGUAGCUUAACCUUCGGGAGGGCGCUUACCACUUUGUGAUUCAUGACUGGGGUGAAGUCGUAACAAGGUAACCA